GGGCCGGUCGUCCAGCCCGGUUAGGACGUCCGCCUGACGCGCGGAAGGCCGCCGGUUCGAAUCCGGCCCGGCCCA
rnacentral:tRNA from 1 species